CUCCUGUUGAUUGUUGUAAUUGUUGAAAUGAGGGAAAAUCUACUGUCAGUCUGAGUUGCCAUGAAUGAACCUAUGAGGGGUUUAGAUUUGGUUACUUAAUCUUGUUAUAUAAUUAAUCCAACACUAAUUUUUUCGGUUUAAUUUCUCUUGUCGUUCUUGAUUCUAGUAUAAAGUCCUAAAAUCUCUCUGUUCAUUAGUCAGCUAAGUAUGCAAAAAUUGUACCUUUUAGCCAUGGAGAGUGGAGUCGGUGAGGAAACUGACUAUGCCACAUCCAUUUUACUUAUGUGAGAGAAAUAAAUCUGAUGAAGUACUAAGGAUAGGUAGUUCAUAGCAAACGAGGUAUUUGGAGAAAUUAGAUAAUGAACAUUCUGUUGAGACGAACCCAUGAUCCUUAAGUUUGAAAAUAUUACUAGCUGGUUUGAGUUGGCAUCGCCGGGAGGAGACAUAGAAACACGCCUGCCGAAGGAAAUACGUUGUCUAAAAACUGCAGAUGACAAGAAAUAUACAACCGUGGCGAUGGAAUAUUGAUAUGCAUAACCUUUAUAAGCCGAGUGAUGCCGUGAUGCAAGUUUUAAGUAUAUGAUCAGCACGAGCACAUACACAAGGGAUCGAGUUAUAAUUUGGAAUUGGAUCUUGCCCAAAAUGAGGAGAGGGAUAAUUUUUUUUUUUGAAGCAUUAAAUUAAUUAGGGAUGGAUGACAAUUCAGAAGGUGCUAGGAAAUUUGAAAGCAUCGAACCAGAACUGAAAUGGAAAGGCUUUGAUGGAAAAGUUUAUGUGCUGGGAUCCUAAACUCAGUUACAAGUUUUAAGCAAUGCACUGCAAUCCAAGUGAACAAUGGUUACUAAAAGAGCAGGAAAUUGAAGAUGUGGCUCAUCUUUUGAAUUUGCUUCCUGAUAUUGAUAGAGACAGUGGCCGUGAUCAAAGGGUUUGGCAGGCGAGGACAAAAGGUUUUUCUGUGGCAUAAUGUUAUAAAGCCUUAGAAGAUGAUGGUCUCUUGAGGUUUUCGUACAAGUCUGUUUGGAAUCCCAGAAUUCAUCAGAAGGUGGCAUUCUUUGUACGGACAUUGUGUUACAAUGCUGCUCCUACUUUGCAUUCUAAUUUAUAUAGGAAUAAUAUCAUGGUAAAUGGUUGCCUAUUAUGCAAGAAGUCAGCUGAAUCAAACCAGCAUAUCUUUCUUCAUUGUGAAACUACCAGGUCAGUGUAGUUUUACUUCUUGAAUUUUUAUAAAUUGCAGUGGUUUUUUCAUGAUUCAGUAAGAAGUAACAUCUGGGAAUGGAGAAAGAAAAAAUGCGAGAAUAGUUCAAUCAAAAACAAAAUUUGGGAUUUGUUUUCUUUUGCUAUUUGUUGGGCUAUGUGGAAUGAGGGGAAUGCAAGACUGUUUAAUGGGCAAUAUAAAACUCAAGAGGAAUUGAUUGAUAGUGUGAAGAUCAGUAUUUUUAAUUGUUGUUUUGGAACAUACAUCUUUGGAAACAUUUCUAUAAACUCUGUCUUGAAUAACUGGGAAGAUGUUACCGCUUAGUUGGGUAGAUAGCUUAUUUUUCUUGAUAGCUUGUUGGUUUUUAUUUUUGGGUUCUCUCUUUUGAUUUUUUUGGUUGUGCUCUAUUGAGUAUGGUCUUGUUUUUCUUUUUCA